rnacentral:rRNA from 1 species
UGGGGAGCUUGCUCCCCUGAGAUCAGCGGCGGACGGGUGAGUAACACGUGGGCAACCUGCCUGUAAGACUGGGAUAACUCCGGGAAACCGGGGCUAAUACCGGAUAACAUUUUCCACUGCAUAGUGGAGAAUUAAAAGAUGGCUCCGGCUAUCACUUACAGAUGGGCCCGCGGCGCAUUAGCUAGUUGGUGAGGUAAGGGCUCACCAAGGCGACGAUGCGUAGCCGACCUGAGAGGGUGAUCGGCCACACUGGGACUGAGACACGGCCCAGACUCCUACGGGAGGCAGCAGUAGGGAAUCUUCGGCAAUGGGCGAAAGCCUGACCGAGCAACGCCGCGUGAGCGAUGAAGGCCUUCGGGUCGUAAAGCUCUGUUGUUAGGGAAGAACAAGUACCGUUCAAAUAGGGCGGUACCUUGACGGUACCUAACCAGAAAGCCACGGCUAACUACGUGCCAGCAGCCGCGGUAAUACGUAGGUGGCAAGCGUUGUCCGGAAUUAUUGGGCGUAAAGCGCGCGCAGGCGGUCUCUUAAGUCUGAUGUGAAAGCCCACGGCUCAACCGUGGAGGGUCAUUGGAAACUGGGGGACUUGAGUACUGGAGAGGAGAGUGGAAUUCCAUGUGUAGCGGUGAAAUGCGUAGAUAUAUGGAGGAACACCAGUGGCGAAGGCGGCUCUCUGGCCAGUAACUGACGCUGAGGCGCGAAAGCGUGGGGAGCAAACAGGAUUAGAUACCCUGGUAGUCCACGCCGUAAACGAUGAGUGCUAGUGUUUGGGGGGUUCCACCCUCAGUGCUGACGUUAACACAUUAAGCACUCCGCCUGGGGAGUACGGCCGCAAGGCUGAAACUCAAAGGAAUUGACGGGGGCCCGCACAAGCAGUGGAGCAUGUGGUUUAAUUCGAAGCAACGCGAAGAACCUUACCAGGUCUUGACAUCCUUCGCUACUUCUAGAGAUAGAAGGUUCCCCUUCCGGGG